UCAGAAAGACAUCGCUGAAGGAUGCGGCUGCGGCCGAUUAGGUAGACGGUGGGGUAACGGCCCACCGUGCCAGUAAUCGGUACGGGUGAUGAGAGUCAGAGCCCGGAGACGCAAUCUGACACAAGAUUCCGGGCCCUAUGGGGGGCAGCAGGCGCGAAACCUUUACACUGCACGCAACUGCGAUAGGGGAAUCCCAAGUGCGAGGGCAUAUUAGGGCCUCGCUUUUGUGGACUGUAAGGUGGUAGACGAAUAAGAGCUGGGCAAGACCGGUGCCAGCCGCCGCGGUAAUACCGGCAGCUCGAGUGAUGUCCCGAUAUUAUUGGGCCUAAAGCGUCGGUAGCU
rnacentral:rRNA from 1 species